ensembl:lncRNA
AAAAACAGAUACUUCUGUCUGGAGGGUCCAGUCUUAGAAGUUCACAUAAAUACAGCUUUGGGGCUCCGGCAGCCCCGGUGUGAUGCCUCCACUACAAGAGGNNNNNNNNNNNNNNNNNNNNNNNNNNNNNNNNNNNNNNNNNNNNNNNNNNNNNNNNNNNNNNNNNNNNNNNNNNNNNNNNNNNNNGGGGGGGGACCCUGCCCUGCGGGGGUCUGAGGGGGACGUUCUGCUCUGGGUAGUCUGCUCACAGCUGUCGCCAUGACUAAAGGGACACCGAUGGCUAAUGCAAGUAAAAUAUUUUCCCCAGAAAUGAGGAAGCCGUGGAGUGGAGGGGGCACUUUCUCCCUGUGGGUACAAGGCUGUCACGACAAAGAGAAAUGCUGUCCCUCUUCCUUGUUCUAGAAACGGUGCCAGUGGGGGGAAGGAAGGGAGGUGCUGUAGCUCAACGUCCGACAGUGGACUGCGUGGCCGGGGGUGUCCCAGUUCCUCAGGGGACGGUGGCUGAGCCCAGGUCGUCUGGUGAGGAGCCAGAGUGAGCAAGAAACUGUCUCAGCCACCUUCUCCCCCGUGACUUGGGGCGCUGGCUCACACUCGGGAACUGUGGCCCCAGCUCCAGGUCACUUCUAAACAAAAGUCUGUGCAACGAGUUUAUGACAAGAAAACCAAACAAGGAAAUGGACCCUGUCCUAGCUCUUCCAAGAACGAGGAUGUCAUUUGGUAAGAAUCUUAAUGAGAAAGGCGGCCUGGAAUGUGCCCAAAUCCAAUGCUUUUCCGGAACCCGCAUCUGAAUCUAUCAGGACAGAACGCAUGAUGCCCAAGAACUACGUCAAAACAAACCCUCUCUCAGCUGGCCUCUACUGGCCCAGGCAGGCAUGGGUGUCCAGCCUGGGUGGGCAGGCCUCUCCUGCGUACAGAGAAGGCCACUGGGGUCACGGGGUGGGGGGUGCUUGGAGCCAUGCCUCAAGCUGCUGGGAGCUUAAAAUCGCAGGAUUCACAAGAAGACAUGGGCAGAGGCAGAAGGCUGUCCUGGCACCUCUAAGUGCUCUGCUUUACUGUCCACAGGAGACUACAGGUUGAGGGGAACGGAUGGCAGUGCGGGUCCCCACCCCUCAGUGGGCACCACUGCUCCUACCACAUCAAGUUACAACCCUGCAGUGGCUAAUACUGGGGUCAGCUGGGUGGACCAGAUGUUCUGUCCAUCACGGUUCUAUGGGUGCUGGAGGGAUUAGGGAGUGAGGUUACUCUGAAACCAGCAGCUUCUGAAUAAAGCAGAAGACCCUCCGCCUAACAGAGAACAGGCUGUGGCCCUUCGAUGAUGAGAGAACACUGCCAGCAGCCUGCCUUCCAAAGCAGCUGCACCAUGAGAUCAGCUCUGCCCUGGUCUCCAACCCGCUCUGCAGAUUUCAGAGCUGCCAGCUCCCGCCAUCGCGUGAGCCAAAGACUCACAGUCAGGUCUCUCCACAUCGCACCCUGAUGGCUCUUCCUCUGGAGAACCCACUAAUGCAAGGUCCCCUCUGCCCCCUUUACCCUGCGUCUCAAAUAACAUUACUCUAGCCUCCUCCUUCUCCAUUUGUAAAUAGCGCUCUUGGGAAUGUCAUCUCUUCUCUAGGCAAGCUGUGAAACUCUAGGAUGUAAAUCCAUCAUCACGCAAAAGCAAAGCCUCCGUAAAUAUUUAAAGCUGAAAAUCUUGGGAGGUACAUCAUCAAUUCCCCGAUAAACAAGCAAGACUGAUAGACUUGGAGGCUCGUUCAAGGCUAAUGUGAGAGUACGACUCUUUGGAAAUGAAAACAGCAAGAGAAUCCGGCAGCAGAAGCACUUUGAGCUCAACUCCUGCACUGCAGCUCCAGCUUCUAGACUACACAGUACACAAAGCUGGCCACUGGUCAUUGUCCGGUUUUCCGCUGCACAAGUAAGCGCCACUCCCCAAGAUCCACGCCGUGAACAGGUGUGCUUAAAAAACAGUAACUGCAACGCAGCCAGGCACUCAGGGAACUGUCCUAGGAAACUGCUUCCCAAAUGCUGACACAUGUGAGAAUCUCAUCACCCCUUCUACCCACUCAGCAGCUCUUUCCUGAGGCAGAAGCAGGUGCAGGAGCCCGGCGGACACCACCCAUGCAGAUGCCAACCAGAUGGGGGUCCCUUUCAUUUUCUAACAAAAACUGCAGUGCAAUUUAAAUAUUUAUAUUCCAUACAUCAACACUUUAAAAAAGAAAGAAAUACAAUGCAACAUGACUAUGCCUUUCUGAAGAAAAGGACAGGACCUGUAAAAAGUCCCAAUUCCCAGGGCAACAGAGGGGCUGCCCAGGAACGGGACACAGGUUUUAAAUUCAACCCCACCAGCACAUGGAUAUCACCCUGGGCUACCUUCAAAAGCCUCUAAACCAAAAAAUGUGUGUUUAGGAAAGCACAUAAUACACUCAGAAAAGCAUGGAACUCAUAAACGUCUAGAUUGAUGGAUUUUCACUAAGUGAACCCAUUUGGAGACCCCCUCUGGAUGGGGAAAGGUCCCGGAAGCCUCCUAGAACCACCUGGCCUCAUGCCUCCCAGAGGAAUCACCUCCAGAAGAGGCUUCAUUUUCAAAGACUUCCUAGAUGUUUCUAACUUCAAUAAAUAAUUUCAUAAAAAUAUCUUCACCUAGUUUAAAGACUGAAGUAGUACUGAAAAGUAUGUCACGAAACCUGCUAGACCUCUGCCACACCCUCCCAAUGAGCCACCAGGUGCUGGGGGUGGGGCGGGGCGUGCGCUGGACUCUGCCUGCGCGCCGUCUGCAGACACGGGUCGGGGGGGCUUGAGAAACGGCCCCUCAGCCCUCGGCAGCCACUGCUGUCACAGGAUGUCACUGAGAGACCAGAGGUUUCUGGAUCCUUCCCAAGCCUGCUCGUGCCCAUGAUGACCUGAGGAACUCAUGGCGACACGAAGCCCAAGGCUCCACCUUCGGGAUCUGCAAAGGGGGAGCUGGCGUCUGGAUCUUCAACAAGGGCCCCUGGCGGUUCAGGGAUGGCGCACCCAUAUUUGGGAGUCACGGCUUUUCCAGAAAGGGCCAUCGGCAUAUUUUAGGCUUCGAGGACCAUAGGGUCUCUGCCGCAACUUCUCAACUCCGCUGUCGUGUAAAAGCAGCCACAGGUGAUACCUAACAAGUAGGCUGUGUGCCAAGGAAACCUGAUUUACAGAAACAGGCAGCGCGCUGGAGAGAGUGGCCCUACUUCCCGUCCUCAUCAAGCCGUCAGCCACGGGACGAGGUUGCAGACCGUGGUGGGACAAGGCCGACCUGAGGCAGUCAUCCCAAACGUCUGAAGUUACCAAGGCCAUCUGGACGGACCGGGGAUGCACCCCCGCACUGGUGCCAGAGCUCGCCCCAGGCGCUCACCCUGCCCUGAGACAGCAAGCCGACAGCAGAGCCCAAAAGCUGAGCGUUCACAGUAGCUGUAACAUUACCAACAACGCCUGAUACACACAAGCAAAAGGUUCUGUUACUGCUAAUAAAUGAAGUAAACAUCUUUUUUCCCUCAUCUUUUAACAUGUCAAUGUAUGUGGGGUUUUUACCAGAUACCAGCAAUGCAGAAGCUCCGGUACAUAGUUUCCAAAAUAGCGAAUACAGACAAAGGGGUCAGAUCUUUUCCCCUGGCGUUUGGGAACCACUGAUCCAGUGAGGAGCUCCCCAGCACAUCUUCUUUCCACAAAGCCUCAUAAUUUCAGGCCUAGGAAAGGCGAGGGCGUGAGAAGCGGCAGGCAGACCCCCAGGGUCUCCCCAAAGGCCCGGCCCUGCCCUGGCAUGUCUGGCCCUCCCGAGGAGAAGAGCCCAGCUUCAGGGGUAUAAUUCCUAUCUCUGGGAGCCUCUGACCUCCGGGCUUGGAUCCUUGGCUGGGGAACCAGCCAGGGGUUCUGAGCCCAGGGGCAAUUUUUUCCUGACGGGCCCUGGAGAGGUUGCAGAAUCACUGUGGGCAUCGGGAGACUGGGGGGGGGGGCUCCAGCUGUUGACAGUCCAGAGGCUGCUGAGGCUUCCGGACCACAAGUGUGUGAUGUGGCCCAGACAGUGGUUGUGGCGCUUUCUCCUCCUUCUUUUCAAUAUGAAGCUUCCGGUAUUUAAAAAUAGAAAGAUUUCACAUCAAGAUCUGGCUUUGACUCCUUUGGAGACGUUGCCAGACACGGCAGUUCUGGCUCGAGGACCCAUUUGGAGGCGGCGGGGAGGCUCACCUGCCCCUCUGCCCAGUCCUCAUCCUCCCCGGGCCUCCCCCGCCCAGCGGUGUUCAGGGGCAGUUCUCACUUCUGGCCCCCAUGUCCCUAUCAAAGUGGGGACACGAUGGGGUUUUAGGAAGCCAAGUCUCUCAAGGUCCAGGAGAGCAAAAUCUUUCUCUACGGAAGGAAAUACAGCCGUCCCCGAAGGCAGGCGGCGGUGGUACAGCCUUUGGCGGGAGUAAAU